AGUGAACGCUGGCGGUAGGCCUAACACAUGCAAGUCGAACGGCAGCACAGUAAGAGCUUGCUCUUACGGGUGGCGAGUGGCGGACGGGUGAGGAAUACAUCGGAAUCUACUUUUUCGUGGGGGCUAACGUAGGGAAACUUACGCUAAUACCGCAUACGACCUCCGGGUGAAAGCAGGGGAUCUUCUGACCUUGCGCGAUUGAAUGAGCCGAUGUCGGAUUAGCUAGUUGGCGGGGUAAAGGCCCACCAAGGCGACGAUCCGUAGCUGGUCUGAGAGGAUGAUCAGCCACACUGGAACUGAGACACGGUCCAGACUCCUACGGGAGGCAGCAGUGGGGAAUAUUGGACAAUGGGCGAAAGCCUGAUCCAGCCAUACCGCGUGGGUGAAGAAGGCCUUCGGGUUGUAAAGCCCUUUUGUUGGGAAAGAAAAGCAGCAGGUUAAUACCCCGCUGUUCUGACGGUACCCAAAGAAUAAGCACCGGCUAACUUCGUG
rnacentral:rRNA from 1 species